UCAGCCUGUGAUGAGGACAGCUCCCACUCAUGUUCGAGUUUCCCAACCAUGAGAUGACUCCACAUGCACUACCAUCUGAGGCUGG
ensembl:snoRNA SNORD33 Small nucleolar RNA Z195/SNORD33/SNORD32 family